GAGCUCGUCGUACUGACCGAGCGGGGAGGCUGUCUUGAGGCGGCACCGCUCACCGACACCGAGGCGGACUGGCAGCCCUGAGCGUCGCAGUCAUGCCGGCCGGACCCGUGCAGGCGGUGCCCCCGCCGCCGCCCGUGCCCACGGAGCCCAAACAGCCAUUGGUAAGAAGAUCGGUGAGGAGGAGAUCCAGAAGCCAGAGGAAAAGGUGACCUGGGAUGGCCACUCAGGCAGCAUGGCCCGGACCCAGCAGGCUGCCCAGGCCAACAUCACCCUCCAGGAGCAGAUUGAGGCCAUUCACAAGGCCAAAGGCCUGGUGCCAGAGGAUGACACUAAAGAGAAGAUUGGCCCCAGCAAGCCCAAUGAAAUCCCUCAACAGCCACCGCCACCAUCUUCAGCCACCAACAUCCCCAGCUCGGCUCCACCCAUCACUUCAGUGCCCCGACCACCCACAAUGCCACCUCCAGUUCGUACUACAGUUGUCUCCGCAGUACCCGUCAUGCCCCGGCCCCCAAUGGCAUCUGUGGUCCGGCUGCCCCCAGGCUCAGUGA
rnacentral:lncRNA from 1 species